rnacentral:rRNA from 1 species
UACGGAGGAUCCGAGCGUUAUCCGGAUUUAUUGGGUUUAAAGGGUGCGCAGGCGGGAGAUUAAGUCGGCGGUGAAAUUUUGCAGCUCAACUGUAAAAGUGCCUUCGAAACUGGUUUCCUUGAGUGUAGAUGAAGUAGGCGGAAUUUGUGGUGUAGCGGUGAAAUGCAUAGAUAUCACGAGGAACUCCGAUUGCGCAGGCAGCUUACUAAACUACUACUGACGCUCAGGCACGAAGGCGUGGGGAUCAAACAGGAUUAGAUACCCGGGGUAGUCCCU